rnacentral:rRNA from 1 species
AAACCAGGAUUAGAUACCCUAUUAUAAAAAUUUAAAUUAAUUUACUAAAAAAUUAAUAGUUAUGUUCUUUAAAUUUAAAAAAUUUGGCGGUAUUUUAGUCUUAUUAGAGGAACCUGUUUUUUAAUUGAUAAUCCACGAUUAAUUUUACUUAUUUUAAAUAAUUCAUAUAUCGCUGUCAUGAAUAUAUUUAAAAAUUUAUUUUCUUUAUUUAUUAUUAUAAUUUAUGUUAAGUCAAGAUGUGGUUAAUAAAUAAGUAUAUAAUGGGUUACAUUAAAUUUUAUUUUUGGAUUUUAAAUGAAAAUUAAAAUGAAAUUGGAUUUAAUAGUAAAUUUAUUUAUUUAAUUAAUAGAAAA